rnacentral:lncRNA from 1 species
AUGCCUGAGAUGGGGGACGAUGGAACUGCGGGGGCGAAGCCUGUUCCUAGCCUGCUGGGAACUCAGGACUCGUCUGCCCAGGGCAGCUCCUCGCGCGGGAAGGCCUCGGGGAACACGGGCCGCUCCGCUCCUCCACACUUCCCGGCGGCGAAGGCAAACGACCCCCGGGAGGGCACAGGAAGGCGCCGCGGCAGGAGAGCACCGCCCAUCCCAGCCAUAGGGAGCGACAAUACUUCCCCCCGCCCCGGGGGCAGCCCCACGAGCCGGCUCUGCCCGAGGGGGGGAGUGAGUUGGUCGCUACACCAUAGCCCCUCGUCCCCCGGCCCCGCUCACCAUGGUGCCCGGCCGCUCGCGCACGCGGCCCCGGCGGCCUCAGCGCUGCGAGCCUGGAGCGCGGGGUCCGGCGGACACCGGCUCCCGCCGCCUCACCCCACAGAGGUCACGGCAGGACCCCGCCUGCUGAAGGCCCCCCGGGGCUCCCGCGCUGCCUGCCUGCGCGGGGCGCUGCGCCCUGUUCCCGCCCCGCCGCGCGGCCGCCGAGCCCAGCGGGUCCCGGGAGGCGGGCGAGACACCGGGGACAAGGGGCUGAGCCGGAGACAAGUAAAAGCGGGCGCUGUCCCCAGCUCGUUCCGUCAGGCACGGCCGGGGCAGCCCUCCAGGCGGCGGCGGGACCCGGCUCACGUGACGCGGGAGGUCACAGGAGCACCUCCCCUCCCCCACCCGCCUGUACAGAGCGAGGAGGUUGCAGGGUGCCGCGGGCAGGUGACAGUACUCGGGGGAAAAUGGACACACAGGGAAGAGACCGCAGGGACUUGCGGCUCCCUCUUGCUAAGGGCAGGUAUAGCCCCGCGGAGGCCCGGGCACCGCUUCUGCGCAUGCUCCGCCCCGACUCCCGCCGGCCCCUGCGGUGCAUGCGCCUCCCGCCCCCCCCGCGGCGGCCAUCUUGUGAGAGCCGCGCAACCCGGAAGUGCUGUGAGGGCUGGGGGAAAGCAAGGCGCCUGCGCGCGGUGGGGGGGAUACAGCGCCGUAGGAUCUCGCUCUUCCACCGGCCGCAGCUGCCGCUUGGGAACCGGGGUCUCCUGCUACUCCGGACGGGGGGAGCCAACAUGA